rnacentral:rRNA from 1 species
GACGAACGCUGGCGGCGUGCUUAACACAUGCAAGUCGAACGAAGAGCGAUGGAAGCUUGCUUCUAUCAAUCUUAGUGGCGAACGGGUGAGUAACGCGUAAUCAACCUGCCCUUCAGAGGGGGACAACAGUUGGAAACGACUGCUAAUACCGCAUACGAUCUAAUCUCGGCAUCGAGGAAAGAUGAAAGGUGGCCUCUAUUUAUAAGCUAUCACUGAAGGAGGGGAUUGCGUCUGAUUAGCUAGUUGGAGGGGUAACGGCCCACCAAGGCGAUGAUCAGUAGCCGGUCUGAGAGGAUGAACGGCCACAUUGGGACUGAGACACGGCCCAGACUCCUACGGGAGGCAGCAGUGGGGAAUCUUCCGCAAUGGACGAAAGUCUGACGGAGCAACGCCGCGUGAGUGAUGACGGCCUUCGGGUUGUAAAGCUCUGUUAACCGGGACGAAAGGCCUUCUUGCGAACAGUUAGAAGGAUUGACGGUACCGGAAUAGAAAGCCACGGCUAACUACGUG